rnacentral:lncRNA from 1 species
AUUUUCUGCACAUUAAGAAGAAGAAUAUGCAUUAAAGAACCUUGUGCUCUUCGCCUCCUAUCCACAGGUGUCUCUUAUUCCUGUGCUGGUCAUUGAUGAAGCUAGCUCAGAUUUAACUGAUACAAAUAGAAUUGCCAUUGAAGAUAAUGCAUGGCACGUGGCUCAUGCUCUUCACCUUGUCUUCAUUUCAGCCUACAUGUGACCAGAGAGAACAAGUGCCCAGUCAGGCUCCCAGCAGCGAUCAGUCACCCAAUGAUUGCUCCUGCUUGAGACCAGUCCUAGGAAAUUGGAGGGCUAUGCAUAAAGUCAUCAUCAGUGUGUGA